rnacentral:lncRNA from 1 species
AUGAAUUGUGGUUUUUGUGUAGCCUGCAAAGCGUCAUGCUUAUGCCCAAUCUGGCAAUAAUGUCUUUGUACCCGUGGAAAGGGAACUAAUUUUUGACAUUGUAAGAAUCUUGCAUUUCUUUUCUUUCCCUUUUCACUAUAUCUGUGCACGCUUUCUUGUGCAACUGCAAGCUGUCAACAUUUUUAUUCAUCCCAGGAUAUAUCUGAUUAUGAUGAUGUUCGCUACUGCUGCUCUGGAGCUGAUGUCUGCUUGGACUGCUGGCCCUUAAUGACCAUUGCUAUCAAAAUUCUGGAUACUUC